GACGAACGCUGGCGGCGUGCUUAACACAUGCAAGUCGAACGAAGUGGCGAACGGGUGAGUAACGCGUAAUCAACCUGCCCUUCAGAGGGGGACAACAGUUGGAAACGACUGCUAAUACCGCAUACUGAAGGAGGGGAUUGCGUCUGAUUAGCUAGUUGGGGGGGUAACGGCCCACCAAGGCGAUGAUCAGUAGGCGGUCUGAGAGGAUGGACGGGCACAAUGGGACUGAGACACGGGCCAGAAUCCUACGGGAGGCAGCAGGGGGGGAACUUCCGCAAUGGAGGGAAGGCUGACGGAGCAACGCCGCGUGAGUGAUGACGGCCUUCGGGUUGUAAAGCUCUGUUAAUCGGGACGCGGUACCGGAAUAGAAAGCCACGGCUAACUACGUGCCAGCAGCCGCGGUAAUAC
rnacentral:rRNA from 1 species